GAACGUCUUACAUAUUAUCUCAUUUAAUUCGCCAAACAACCCCAUGAUAAUCACCAGGAUCUGACAGCCUCAGACCAGCCAAAGUUGAGGCAGAACCAGAGGGAAGGCAGUGCGAGUGGAAUGCCGUGUCUCUGCAUGGUUGGUAUACACGGUGGGAAGAGUGGAUCCAUAGGAGCACACCCAGGGACUGUUCCCAGGGCUAGGCUGGACUUCGGAGCAUCUCCCCUGACGCUCGACCAAGGACCCGGUAUAUGGCAUAAUGAUUCAGCAAUUCCGUACAUCACACAGUGCUCACCAUGAAUUCUGAUUUUGAACAUCGUCAAUCAAGAUGCCUACAGAUUCAAGGUUACCCUCCACGAGAUGAACCAGUAUCUGAAAUCAGAACACACAAUAGACAUGGCCCACACCCAGAAGGCACCUGAGCCAGUUUCUAGGGCACUCUUAUACAGCAACCUGGACACCCCCAAACAUCUUCCUUGGAAUCACUUAUGAGCACAAGGAUUUUCCAGGAAAAUCUUAGCGAAGAUUCUGCAACUCAGAAGAACUAAAUCGAUGUCUGAAUUCAAUCCAACCUCAAAGUGACUGGACAACAGCAUUUAUUAUAUUCUGGAACUUAAUGCAAGGACUCUAAAACUCAUUUGAAAGAACAGCCAGGGAUUUUCAAGUGCUUAGCCAAUUUAGGCUUUUCCAGUCUUUAGAAUACUUUCAAGACACGACAAACAAAACAUCAUGUUACCGGUACACCAGACAAAGCAGAACUGAGUUUGGAAUCAGAGCCAAAGGAGCACACAGGUUUCUACAGAAUUAUGAUGGGACUUUAAAGCAGUGGGCAAGGUUAGGAUUAUUCUAGAAAUGGUGUCAGAUAACUCUCUCUUGAUUAAAACAACUGUCCAGUAGAAACUAAUAUAAUGCUGUUAUGG